GGGACACAGCACCUGUCCCUUAGAACCUGGUUCCUGACCUGUGGAACCAAUAGGCAUGUUCUAUGUUACACCAUUGUCUAGGUGAUAGCCCUGUCCAUUCUGAUUUAAUUCUUCUGGGAUGGGCACUAGGAAUCAGGAUUAUCUUUAAGCUCCUUGGGGGUCUCCACUAUGACACAAAGAUUGAGAAUCACAGGUUUUGCUCUUACAGCCCAGGAAAGGAGAUGGACGGUUGUGCCCCCUGACUUAGCAAGCUUUUCAAAGAAGACCUGUGUGUACUGGGAAAUCAAGGACCAGCGUGGCUUAGCUUGUCACAAGGUCCCAGCCUGAGACCCCUCCACCCUGCUGUAAAUGCUGCUCCAGAGAAACCAUGGAACUAG